GCUACCAUAUGGAGUUAGAAGGCCUCACGAGGUCGCUCGAUAUAUUCGAGGCUCACUCCCUGGUUGUAGGCGUCCUGGUGACAGACAGGCACCUCCAGCUGAAUGCUUGGUUGCCGCCAAGAACAAGAUGGUAGCAGCAGGUAAGUCGCGUCACACAGAGGAGCUGAGCUCCUUUAUCAAGGCAGUUAUCAACCACCUGUACUGGUGCGCCGGGACAAGUGCCGGGAACCAAGACCUGAUCCUGGCAAAGUGGGAAUCUCUGGGGGCACAUGUGGCAGACAUACAUUCCCACCCUGACCCUCUCUUCCCAGAGUGUGAGCACGGAGAACUGCACAAGAAGUGGCUACAGGAAGGCUCUCCUGCUCACUAGAAGCUGCGGGAAAUUGUGCUGUCCAAACACCUUCUCCGAGACAUCCCUCGACUUUCCACGUCAGCGCAGACAUUUGCAAUCGAGUGCUUCCAUAGCAUUCUGUUGCAGUUUGCGCCAAAAUAGGUGCACUUCAGCUUUCGCAGCAUGAAGGCAAGGUGUGUAAAAAAGGUGUAAUUUUUCAUUCAGAUGUUUCUGAAUAAUGCAUUUACUGUUCGGAGCCCACCUGGCUGCUUUGCACCACAAUGCAAAUGCGGCCAGGCCCCAAGCAGUCACCAAGGACGGGGAC